UACGUAGGUGGCUAGCGUUGUCCGGAUUUACUGGGCGUAAAGCGCGCGCAGGCGGUCGUUCAAGUCGAGUGUGAAAGCCCCCCGGCUCAACUGGGGAGGGUCACUCGAUACUGAUCGACUUGAAGGCAGAAGAGGGAAGCGGAAUUCCCGGUGUAGUGGUGAAAUGCGCAGAUAUCGGGAAGAACACCCGUGGCGAAGGCGGUUCUCUGGGACGGUACUGACGCUGAGACGCGAAAGCGUGGGGAGCAAACAGG
rnacentral:rRNA from 1 species